UGCCACGAGGGAAACGUUAUUGGGUGCUGGC
rnacentral:piRNA from 1 species